rnacentral:rRNA from 1 species
GACUUGAAGAAGAGUCAAGAGAACGUGAAACUACCACGAGGUUAAAGCGGAUGUACUUUUGCAGCCGAACGGGGGGUCUCAACUCCGAGAGCCUUCGGCGGCGGUCGCGUUCGGACCUUUCGCAGCGUCCUUUCCCUUCGCGGGGAGAGGCUCCGCUCGAAGGCCGUCGCGGUCGUCGGAUCGUCGGACAGUGGGGCGGAUUUCUCUCCCUAAUAGGCAGCCGCGGCCGCUCGGAGACGACCUAUGGCUCGGGAGCUGGGAACCGUCCAGCGCUUUCGGGCGCUGGCGGGGACUCUCCCUUGAUUCUGGUCGUCCCUCGGGCGAGUUUGACAAAAGACGGAGAGUUCUCCUCGAUGGAAGGGUCUCUCCGUACGCGGCUGAAAUUUGCGAUCGUUCAUCCGUCCCGUCUUGAAACACGGACCAAGGAGUCUAACAUGUACGCGAGUCAAAGGGUUGGCUAAACCCCAAGGCGUAACGAAAGUAAAUAAGGCCUUUUAUUAGGUCGUUGGGUCGAUCCGUGCUCCCUUCGUGGACCGGCGCAGACCCGGGGCUCGCCGCUACCUCUUUCGUUCUUUUCCCUUUUCGGAGGGUUGGAUUCGGGGCGGACGGCGGGCACCUUGAGCGUACAUGCUAGUACCCGAAAGAUGGUGAUCUAUGCCUGGCCAGAUGAAGCCAGAGGAAACUCUGGUGGAGGUCCGUAGCGAUUCUGACGUGCAAAUCGAUCGUCAGAGCUGGUAUAGGGCGAAAGCCAAUCGACCAUCUAGUAGCUGGUU